CCCGGAGGAGGGUGACGGAUGGCCACAGUAGCUCGCAGCAGGACGACGAUGCAUGAGGGCGCACGGAGCAGGGUGGCGCUCGCCUUGAGGAGCUCGUCCAUGAUCCAAUACCCAGACGAUGGAAAGGUCUAUGCAUGGUCUUUUUGGUCAUGUCGAACCCUUCUGUUGGAUAUGGAGGACGACAAGCAACUAUCUUCUUGGCCUUCUUGUGGUUUAUUGAAUAGCAGCGUCACUGCAUCGAGUGACCGCCAUUACCUCCGUCAUGAACUUGGAUUGGCAGCUGGUCAUACUCUAUUUGAGUUCAAAUAUUCUGCUUAUGAUGCAGUGAGAUAAUAUGCCAGGUACCCUUCCUGUCGCCGCUGCGCCAGAAUGACACUACCACC